AAUUAAUGUGCUUACUUCAGUUAAAUGAUAUAUUGAACGGGUAGAGGGUCUUUGUUCAGUCAAAAUUUUGGGAGCAUGGUGCAUUUUUCUCCUUUCUCUUACAUUUUCUAUGGAUAACUUGCAGAUAAUUCAUCUUAAACAUGGAGCUCUUAAAGAUGAAUAUUGUUUCUACUAGUUAGAUUUUGCUUGGGCCAUUGAUGAUAUGGCUUAUGCGUGAAUGAAUCUUUAGCUAUUAGAUCAUCUUUUUUCAUACAGUUGUAUGUGUGCCAUUUUAAGUUGUAUAAUGGUUGCAGGGGAACUUAGAUUUCAUAUCAUGAUGCAUUAAAGAAAAUUGGGUGUUUGUUUGUGUUUAUUAGCUUAGCUUCAUGUUUGAUUAGGUUACCUUUUGUUUUCCCCUUUUUCUGCCAAAAAAAUAAUAAUAAUGCAGCGAAAUCAUGUGGAGAUGGGAAGCAGAGGGCCAAGCAACUCCGCCAUGGCUAGAUAUCUUGCCGUUGACCUCGCCAAUGAAGUUCAAGCAGAACCCCAACAAUACUCUGAUGAGGAGUGGGUUCCUACCAAGAGAUCAAGAUCAGGCCCCGCAAAGAAUAAUUCUAGAGGCAAGGCAGUUCGAACGCCUGUGAGGAGGCAACCGAGGGCCAGUGUAAAUGCCCAAAAGGUGGCUAUGGCAGAAAAGAGGGAGAAGGAUGCUCUUGAUCAGGUUGGUGAAUUGGAAAGAAAGAUUACUGAGAUGACAGACAAGAUGAAUGGCUGAUGGAAAACCAGUAGCUGCUUAUGUUAUCUACAAACACCUUCUCCAUUGGAAUGCCUUUGAAUAUGAGAGGACUACUAUUUUUUAUUUCAUCAUUGAGAGCAUCAAUGAUGAAUUGAAGUCUCCAAGACAACCUGAUUCCGUGCAAUGUGGAUUUUUCGUGAUGCGUUACAUGAAAGAAAUUAUCGAAGAGCUUAUGAGGAAUGGUCGCAUUUGCCUACAUCCACAUUUUGACAAUCGGAGUUAUACUAAAGAGGAUAUUGAUGAAGUUCGUGUUGAGUGGGCGAAUCUCAUUCUUAGUUACAUAUAAAAAGUAGAGGAUAUGCUGGGAACGAAGCUAAAAUAUAAGAGACUUUUGCUGAAUUUUCCACGAAGAUUCUUGUUUUUGAAAACAAAUAUUGUACUUUCUUUAUUUUGUUAUAUUUAAUCUCAUGUCGUAUAUUAGCUUCAUUUCAGUGUACAUUUAUCAGAUUAUGAAAUAUUGUGAAAGUAUAUAUGACAAUUAUAAUUUUUUGGUGCA